rnacentral:rRNA from 1 species
GACGAACGCUGGCGGCGCGCCUAACACAUGCAAGUCGAACGGAGUCAAGAGGAGCUUGCUUUUCUUGACUUAGUGGCGAACGGGUGAGUAACGCGUGAGUAACCUGCCCUGGAGUGGGGGACAACAGUUGGAAACGACUGCUAAUACCGCAUAAGCCCACGGAUCCGCAUGGAUCUGCGGGAAAAGGAUUUAUUCGCUUCAGGAUGGACUCGCGUCCAAUUAGCUAGUUGGUGAGGUAACGGCCCACCAAGGCGACGAUUGGUAGCCGGACUGAGAGGUUGAACGGCCACAUUGGGACUGAGACACGGCCCAGACUCCUACGGGAGGCAGCAGUGGGGGAUAUUGCACAAUGGGGGAAACCCUGAUGCAGCGACGCCGCGUGGAGGAAGAAGGUUUUCGGAUUGUAAACUCCUGUCGUUAGGGACGAUAAUGACGGUACCUAACAAGAAAGCACCGGCUAGCUACGUG